rnacentral:rRNA from 1 species
CCUACGGGAGGCAGCAGUAGGGAAUAUUGCUCAAUGGGGGAAACCCUGAUGCAGCGACGCCGCGUGAGUGAAGAAGUAUUUCGGUACGUAAAGCUCUAUCAGCAGGGAAGAAAAUGACGGUACCUGACUAAGAAGCCCCGGCUAACUACGUGCCAGCAGCCGCGGUAAUACGUAGGGGGCAAGCGUUAUCCGGAUUUACUGGGUGUAAAGGGAGCGUAGACGGCAGCGCAAGUCUGGAGUGAAAUCCCAUGGCUUAACCAUGGAACUGCUUUGGAAACUGUGCAGCUAGAGUGCAGGAGAGGUAAGCGGAAUUCCUAGUGUAGCGGGGAAAUGCGUAGAUAUUAGGAGGAACACCAGUGGCGAAGGCGGCUUACUGGACUGUAACUGACGUUGAGGCUCGAAAGCGUGGGGAGCAAACAGGAUUAGAUACCCCAGUAGUC